rnacentral:lncRNA from 1 species
GGCGGCGUUGUCGAGCGCCGCGUGCCGCGAGGACCCGUCGGCCUGAGACACCGCGAAGUCGCUGUCGGCCGCGGCCGCCGCCAUCGUGGCCACCUGGCGCUGGUAAUCCAGCUAUAGGGGGAGGGGACACGUCAGGACACGCCCACUUCCUGUCACGUGGGGGACCACUUCCUGUCACGUGACUCCCACUUCCUGUUGUAAGCAACGCUCGCUUCCUGUCACGUGGCUCCUACUUCCUGUCCUAAGCCACGCCCACUUCCGGGUACGCACAACACUAUGUCUACUUCCUGUCACGUGGGAAACCAUUUCCGGUCCCAACACACGCCCACUUCCUGUCGUAAGCCACACCCACUUCCGGUUAUGCGCAACACUAUGUCUACUUCCUGUCACGUGGGACACCAUUUCCGGUCCCAAGACGCCCACUUCCUGUCGUAAGCCACGCCCACUUCCGGGUAUGCAUAACACUAUGCCUACUUCCUGUCACGUGGGACACCAUUUCCGGUCCCAACACACGCCCACUUCCUGUCGUAAGCCACGCCCACUUUCGGUUUUGCACGACCGCUUCCUGUUGUAAGCAGCGCCACUUCCGGUUAUGUUGGGUUUCAUUUCCGGCAGUAAGUCACGCCCACUUCCGGGUAUGUACUCGUCGCUUUCUGUCUUAAGCCACGCCCACUUCCGGUUACACUGCCAGUUAUUUUCCAUAAGCCACGCCCACUUCCGGCUAUGCGCAAUAACCACUUCCUGUCUUAAGCCACGCCCACUUCCGGACACGUGGUCAAACUCUCUUUCUGUACUAAGCCACGCCCCUUUUGGUCAUAUACACAAUGCACUUCCGGUGAUAUGCCACACCCCCCCGGAAGUCCCACCCAUAAAGUAAACCCCUCCCGGAAGUCCCACCCCCGGAAGUCGCGCUCACCCGGAAAUCCCACCCGCCGGAAGUCCCGCCCACCCGGAAGUCCCACCCACCCGGAAGUCGCGCCCACCCGGAAGUCCCACCCCCCGGAAGUCCCGCCCACCCACCUGUUUCUUCAUCUUUUUCCUUUCCUUUUUACUGAUUUGGGCCUUUUUUCCCCCCACUUCCUCUUCCUCUUUGGGGGUUGGACUUCCGGGGGUGGGACUUCCGGGGGCGGGGUCUAUUUUAGGGGCGGGACUUCCGGGUUUUUCGGCUUCUUCCUCUUCUUCUUCCUCCCCUUCGUCGGAGCCCAAAGCAGCAAAUUGGUUCUGGGGGGAAAAUGGCCGCCAUUAGUGGGACCCAUAGACGGACCCAUAGCCUGCCCUAUAGCCAGACCCAUAGCCUGCCCUAUAGCCUGCCCCAUAGCCUGCCCCAUAGCCAGACCCAUAGCUGUCCCCUCUGCCCCAUAGCCGGACCCAUAGCCAGCCCCAUAACCCCACUGCCCCAUAACUGGACCCACAGCCUGCCCCAUAGCCAGCCCUAUAACCCGAUAGCCGCAUACCCAGCCCCAUAGCCUGCCCCAUAACCCCACUGCCCUAUAGCCAGCCCCAUAGCCUCCCUAUAGCCCCACUGCCCUAUAGCCCACCCCAUAGCCUACCCCACAGCUAGCCCCAUAAACCCACUGCCCUAUAGCCUACCCCGUAGCCAGCCCCAUAACCCCAUAGCCAGCCCCAUAAUCCCACUGCCCUAUAGCCCACCCCAUAGCCUACCCCAUAGCCAGCCUCAUAAACCCACUGCCCUACAGCCUGCCCCAUAACCCCAUAGCCAGCCCCAUAACCCACCCCACAACCCCAUAGCCAACUCCAUACCCCAAUAACCCACCCCACAGCCCCAUAGCCCACCCCAUAACCCACCCCACUGCCCCACAGCCCCAUAGCCGACCCCAUAGCCGACCCCAUAGCCCCAUAACCCCCACCUGCCGCCUGCUGCAGUUCUUUUCAUUCUUCCUGUUCUUCUUCUUCCUCCCAUCUUCCUCCUCUUCUUCCUCGUCCUUCGACCCCAAAACAAAGUCAGCCCCACACUUAUGGGGCAGCCCCACAUCUCCCACCCCACACUUAGGGGGCAGCCCCACACGUCCCACCUUCUUCCUAUGGGGUCAAGAUCCUUCCCCCCCCCCCCCUCAGCCCCACACUUAGGGGGCACCACACACUUAUGGGGCAACUCCACACUUAUGGGGCACCCCACCACCCCCUUGGGUCCCCCCCCCCCCGCCCCCAAACACCCUCACCCCACACUUAUGGGGCACCCCAGACCCUCACCCCACACUUAGGGGAUACCCCACACUUAUGGGGCAGCCCCACACCUCCCACCUUCCUUCUAUAGGGUCAGGAUCCUUCCCCCCCACCCUUAGACACACUCAGCCCACACUUAUGGGGCAACUCUUCAUCUAUGGGGCACUCCAAACCCCCA